AUGUUGAACAAGUCUGGUUUGGAGAUCAACUCCAACAACUUCAUUGACAUGCAGCGCAAGUCGAAAGAUCCAAAGACUAGCAAAUACUACGACUCCUUGGCCGAUGUUGCAGGCGGCGUAAUCCACCCAUUCUACAGCGGCAUGAAGAAGAAGAUGGACAAGGGAGAACACAAACUGUGGGGGACCAGCCCGCUGCCAGACAACCUCAUCACGUACGCAGGAAUAGAUGCGUACGCCACGUACAAGUCAUGGAAGACAAUCGACAACAUCGUGACAGGUUGGGAUAUUUCAAAAGAGCAGGAGGCUGACCCCUACUACCACUUCAACUUCGCAGGAUGA
rnacentral:rRNA from 1 species